rnacentral:rRNA from 1 species
CGCUGGCGGCACGCCUAACACAUGCAAGUCGAACGAAGUAGCAAUACUUAGUGGCAGACGGGUGAGUAACAUGUAGGUAUCUGCCCUUUGGCCUGGAAUAACACGAGGAAACUUGUGCUAAUACUGGAUAAGUCUUUACGGAGAAAGCUUUAUGCACCAUUGGAUGAGCCUGCACUUGAUUAGUUUGUUGGUGGGGUAAUGGCCUACCAAGACUUUGAUCAAUAGCUGAUUUGAGAGGAUGAUCAGCCACAUUGGGACUGAGACACGGCCCAAACUCCUACGGGAGGCAGCAGUGGGGAAUCUUGCACAAUGGAGGAAACUCUGAUGCAGCGAUGCCGCGUGAGUGAAGAAGGCCUUUGGGUUGUAAAGCUCUUUCGUCGGGGAAGAAAAUGACUGUACCCGAAUAAGAAGGUCCGGCUAACUUCGUGCCAGCAGCCGCGGUAAUACGAAGGGACCUAGCGUAGUUCGGAAUUACUGGGCUUAAAGAGUUCGUAGGUGGUUGAAAAAGUUGGUGGUGAAAUCCCAGAGCUUAACUCUGGAACUGCCAUCAAAACUUUUCAGCUAGAGUAUGAUAGAGGAAAGCAGAAUUUCUAGUGUAGAGGUGAAAUUCGUAGAUAUUAGAAAGAAUACCAAUUGCGAAGGCAGCUUUCUGGAUCAUUACUGACACUGAGGAACGAAAGCAUGGGUAGCGAAGAGGAUUAGAUACCCUCGUAGUCCAUGCCGUAAACGAUGUGUGUUAGACGUUGGAAAUUUAUUUUCAGUGUCGCAGCGAAAGCGAUAAACACACCGCCUGGGGAGUACGACCGCA